rnacentral:rRNA from 1 species
CCUACGGGAGGCUGCAGUGGGGAAUAUUGCACAAUGGGCGCAAGCCUGAUGCAGCCAUGCCGCGUGUGUGAAGAAGGCCUUCGGGUUGUAAAGCACUUUCAGCGGGGAGGAAGGCGUUAAGGUUAAUAACCUUGGCGAUUGACGUUACCCGCAGAAGAAGCACCGGCUAACUCCGUGCCAGCAGCCGCGGUAAUACGGAGGGUGCAAGCGUUAAUCGGAAUUACUGGGCGUAAAGCGCACGCAGGCGGUCUGUCAAGUCGGAUGUGAAAUCCCCGGGCUCAACCUGGGAACUGCAUUCGAAACUGGCAGGCUAGAGUCUUGUAGAGGGGGGUAGAAUUCCAGGUGUAGCGGUGAAAUGCGUAGAGAUCUGGAGGAAUACCGGUGGCGAAGGCGGCUCUCUGGCCUGUAACUGACGCUGAGGCGCGAAAGCGUGGGGAGCGAACAGGAUUAGAUACCCUUGUAGUC